AUUGAACGCUGGCGGCAGGCCUAACACAUGCAAGUCGAGCGAGCGGCGGACGGGUGAGUAAUGUAUGGGGACUGCCCGAUAGAGGGGGCUAACUACUGGAAACGGUGGCUAAUACAGCAUACUGUCGGAUAACCCAUAUGGGAUUAGCUAGUAGGUAAGGUAAUGGCUUACCUAGGCGACGAUCCCUAGCUGGUCUGAGAGGAUGAUCAGCCACACUGGCACUGAGACACGGUCCAGACGCCUACGGAGGCAGCAGUGGGGAAUAUUGCACAAUGGGCGAAAGCCUGAUGCAGCCAUGCCGCGUGUAUGAAGAAGGCCCUAGGAUUGUAAAGGACUUUCAGUCGGGAGGCGUUACCGACAGAAGAAGCACCGGCUAACUCCGUGCCAGCAGCCGCGGUAAUAC
rnacentral:rRNA from 1 species